CCAUCCAGCCCACACUCUGUAAAGAGCGCCGCUCAUACGAGCCAAAAAAUCCGGAAACCACAACUUCUAUUACGCCGCCGCCGCCGCCGCCGAUGACUCAAGAGCGUCCCUCGCCGGCGUCCUCCGACACUACCAUAUCCUUCGACUCUGCUCCCGAAUCCGAUGCCUCCACCUCAUCCUCGGUGCUCUCGGUCGUCUCCUCCGGAUCUGAACCCGUCGUUUCCAAGAAGCCCCGCCCCCCCGUGCGCUCGUGGCCAGCCUCCGACGAGAUCGCGCUCCUCGAGGCCGUCGCGGUGCACCGUGAGAAGCACGGGCGGCUGCCGUCGCCCAACGACCUUGCCGCCGCGCUGCAAGGCCGCCUCCGCGCGGAGGACCGCCUAGGCGCCGAGCAGGUCGCCAAGCGGCUGCGCGCGCUCCGCUCCCGGUACGACGCGGCCGCCAUCCGCCUCUCCCGCGGCACCAUCCCGGUGAAGGACGACGACGUCACGAUCUACAGGCUCUCCAAGCUAAUCUGGGCGGGCACGCGCAAGGGGAAGAGGAAAACGAAGACCCGUGCGGCCGACGCGCGCAAGGACCCGAGGGAGUUCGGCGAGCUGUCCGAGCUGUACCCUUGUCUCUCAGCGGAGGUGGAGGCUAUUGACAAGGGGUGCGGCGCUGCGGCCGCCGCCAGGGUGCUAAAGAGGGCGUACGGGCGCAUCGGGGACGACACUGCGGCACGGCUGGAGGCGAGGGUGAAGAUGCAGCGGGUGGCGGAGGCCAGGGCCAGCGCGGAGCUUGACCAGCUGAGGAGGAAUGUCGCCGGGGCUCUUCUGCGUUUGAUCAAGUGAAUGAUUGAAAUGUUAUCAGAUUCUUUGUGCCGAAGUUCAAGGGCAAUAUCAAAAGUAUCAGAAAUGUGAUGUAGCAACUAGCAAAUGGAAAAAUAAUUUUCCCACAGCAUCAAAAUUCGAAAUACAAAGCUAACGUUUGUUUCAAGAUCUAUCCUAUUAGAGCAAGUAUAGUAAUGCCUAUUCAGCCGGCGGAAGAGCACUCCACGUCAACAAAAUCUGAGCUGGAGGUGCGAAUAUAGGGGAGAGAGAACAGAGCUGGCUGCUGGUGAAAUGCCGGGCAACAUAGGAACCGAGAAAAAAAGUGCCAGCUUUUAGCCGUCAGCCAAUAGUCAUACGAACAUUAAUUAUUUACAUCUUCAAUCCAACCAUUCUAAUAGUCAACCUAGCAGCUAAGUCAUUAUAUGAACAGGCUAUAUUUUCAACUUCAUCUGACAUGGCAAUAGCAUUUAGCCUUCAGCUGGCUAAAUCAUUAGCCAUGCUCUUAUUCUCACUCUGCAAUCUGCCUCAAUCAUCUAUACUUAUUCUGUAAAGCGUACAUCAUCUUAUGGACUGGUGGUUUCAAGCUGCUAGCAUGCACGACACCUCCUUCAAAAUUAUAAGCAUGACAUGCACCUUGUGGCCAAAACAUUUCACAAAGCCUAUCUUGUGCAAUGCAAAGUGUGCUGAUAUUUCAGCCUGGUGUUGCGUUUUGCAUCAAUCAAUUUUGAUUAUCAUUUAGCAUUAGGGCAGUGCUUGGGAGGGUUUCUGCUCCAAGAUUUUCAUCUAGAGCAGCUGGAGUGCAUCCAACUGCCCUCAGCUCUGAAGAAACAGUAUGAAAGCAGAGUGGUCCAGAGCCACAAAUUAACUGGAGAAGUGGAGCAGGCUGCCUUUUCUGUAUUCCAUGUUCUGGAUGCCUCUGUUCAAGAUGUUCCUAUGCCCUAUUCCACCAUCUCGUCAAGGUAAUGCCACAUAUGACAUCAUAUAUUGAGAUGUUCUUGAGUGUUUACUUGUGUGGUUUGGUUGUAUGGCACUACGGCAGUGUGUAGGUACUGAACUUAAAUGGAUUCCGGUAUUUGUGAUGAAUGUAGUGUACUGACUGCUUUUGCACUAGUACACUCUCCAGGCCUCCACACAUAUUUUGUGAUGGGAGAUUGAACUGUUGGAGUCGGUGAACUUCAAUACAUGUUUUGCAUUGCAUGGAUGCGUUAAAAAUCAGUUAUAUGUUGCUGAAGGGUGAGAUUAAAAUUUGAUCUGGGAUUGAAAAAUCUGUA